rnacentral:rRNA from 1 species
GACGUAGGAUGCGAGCGUUGUUCGGAUUUAUUGGGCGUAAAGAGUUCGUAGGUGGUUUGUUAAGUCUGGUGUUAAAGAUCAGGGCUCAACCCUGGGAGUGCACUGGAUACUGGCAGACUUGAGUGUGGUAGAGGUAAGUGGAAUUCCCAGUGUAGCGGUGAAAUGCGUAGAUAUUGGGAAGAACACCGGUGGCGUAAGCGACUUACUGGGCCACAACUGACACUGAGGAACGAAAGCCAGGGUAGCGAAUGGG